rnacentral:lncRNA from 1 species
UGUUUAAUGUCUUUGGCUCGACGUCAUGCCUCUCUUCUCAGCUUUCAUAGAUCGGAUCGUCUAGCUCCACCAUCUCAAUAUUUUCCACCUGAUGCCCCUCAUAGAAAGGCUUUAAUCUAUGUCCAUUCACCUUAAGGAUCUUGUUUGUACUAGGACUUUGAAUCUCAACUGCACCAUGAGGAAACACAUUAGUGAUAACAAAAUGACCAACCCAUCUAGAUCUCAAUUUACCUGGAAAUAACUUAAGCCG